rnacentral:rRNA from 1 species
AUUGAACGCUGGCGGCAGGCCUAACACAUGCAAGUCGAGCGGAUGAAGGGAGCUUGCUCCUGGAUUCAGCGGCGGACGGGUGAGUAAUGCCUAGGAAUCUGCCUGGUAGUGGGGGAUAACGUCCGGAAACGGGCGCUAAUACCGCAUACGUCCUGAGGGAGAAAGUGGGGGAUCUUCGGACCUCACGCUAUCAGAUGAGCCUAGGUCGGAUUAGCUAGUUGGUGGGGUAAAGGCCUACCAAGGCGACGAUCCGUAACUGGUCUGAGAGGAUGAUCAGUCACACUGGAACUGAGACACGGUCCAGACUCCUACGGGAGGCAGCAGUGGGGAAUAUUGGACAAUGGGCGAAAGCCUGAUACAGCAAUGCCGCGUGUGUGAAGAAGGUCUUCGGAUUGUAAAGCACUUUAAGUUGGGAGGAAGGGCAGUAAGUUAAUACCUUGCUGUUUUGACGUUACCAACAGAAUAAGCACCGGCUAACUUCGUG